rnacentral:rRNA from 2 species
GGUUAAGCGAACAAGCGUACACGGUGGAUGCCCUGGCAGUCAGAGGCGAUGAAGGACGUGCUAAUCUGCGAAAAGCGCCGGUAAGGUGAUAUGAACCGUUAUAACCGGCGAUGUCCGAAUGGGGAAACCCGGUGCACUUCGGUGCAUCAUCGUUAGCUGAAUACAUAGGCUAACGAGGCGAACCGGGGGAACUGAAACAUCUAAGUACCCCGAGGAAAAGAAAUCAACCGAGAUUCCCCCAGUAGCGGCGAGCGAACGGGGAACAGCCCAGAGCCUGAAUCAGCUUGUGUGUCAGUGGAACGGUCUGGAAAGGCCGGCGAUACAGGGUGACAGCCCCGUACACGAAGGCACACAGGCUGUGAGCUCGAUGAGUAGGGCGGGACACGUGAUAUCCUGUCUGAAGAUGGGGGGACCAUCCUCCAAGGCUAAAUACUCCUGACUGACCGAUAGUGAACCAGUACCGUGAGGGAAAGGCGAAAAGAACCCCGGCGAGGGGAGUGAAACAGAACCUGAAACCGUGUACGUACAAGCAGUGGGAGCCUUCGUAAGAGGGUGACUGCGUACCUUUUGUAUAAUGGGUCAGCGACUUAUAUUCUGUAGCAAGGUUAACCGUAUAGGGGAGCCGAAGGGAAACCGAGUCUUAAUUGGGCGUUAAGUUGCAGGGUAUAGACCCGAAACCCGGUGAUCUAGCCAUGGGCAGGUUGAAGGUUGGGUAACACUAACUGGAGGACCGAACCGACUAAUGUUGAAAAAUUAGCGGAUGACCUGUGGCUGGGGGUGAAAGGCCAAUCAAACCGGGAGAUAGCUGGUUCUCCCCGAAAGCUAUUUAGGUAGCGCCUCGUGAACUCAUCUCCGGGGGUAGAGCACUGUUUCGGCUAGGGGGCCAUCCCGGCUUACCAACCCGAUGCAAACUGCGAAUACCGGAGAAUGUUAUCACGGGAGACACACGGCGGGUGCUAACGUCCGUCGUGAAGAGGGAAACAACCCAGACCGCCAGCUAAGGUCCCAAAGUCAUGGUUAAGUGGGAAACGAUGUGGGAAGGCCCAGACAGCCAGGAUGUUGGCUUAGAAGCAGCCAUCAUUUAAAGAAAGCGUAAUAGCUCACUGGUCGAGUCGGCCUGCGCGGAAGAUGUAACGGGGCUAAACCAUGCACCGAAGCUGCGGCAGCGACACUAUGUGUUGUUGGGUAGGGGAGCGUUCUGUAAGCCUGCGAAGGUGUGCUGUGAGGCAUGCUGGAGGUAUCAGAAGUGCGAAUGCUGACAUAAGUAACGAUAAAGCGGGUGAAAAGCCCGCUCGCCGGAAGACCAAGGGUUCCUGUCCAACGUUAAUCGGGGCAGGGUGAGUCGACCCCUAAGGCGAGGCCGAAAGGCGUAGUCGAUGGGAAACAGGUUAAUAUUCCUGUACUUGGUGUUACUGCGAAGGGGGGACGGAGAAGGCUAUGUCGGCCGGGCGACGGUUGUCCCGGUUUAAGCGUGUAGGCUGACUUUCCAGGCAAAUCCGGAAGGUUAAGGCUGAGGCGUGAUGACGAGGCACCACGGUGCUGAAGUGACAAAUGCCCUGCUUCCAGGAAAAGCCUCUAAGCAUCAGGUAACAUCAAAUCGUACCCCAAACCGACACAGGUGGUCAGGUAGAGAAUACCAAGGCGCUUGAGAGAACUCGGGUGAAGGAACUAGGCAAAAUGGUGCCGUAACUUCGGGAGAAGGCACGCUGACAUGUAGGUGAAGCCCCUGCGGGUGGAGCUGAAGUCAGUCGAAGAUACCAGCUGGCUGCAACUGUUUAUUAAAAACACAGCACUGUGCAAACACGAAAGUGGACGUAUACGGUGUGACGCCUGCCCGGUGCCGGAAGGUUAAUUGAUGGGGUUAUCGCAAGAGAAGCUCCUGAUCGAAGCCCCGGUAAACGGCGGCCGUAACUAUAACGGUCCUAAGGUAGCGAAAUUCCUUGUCGGGUAAGUUCCGACCUGCACGAAUGGCGUAAUGAUGGCCAGGCUGUCUCCACCCGAGACUCAGUGAAAUUGAACUCGCUGUGAAGAUGCAGUGUACCCGCGGCAAGACGGAAAGACCCCGUGAACCUUUACUACAGCUUGACACUGAACAUUGAGCCUUGAUGUGUAGGAUAGGUGGGAGGCUUUGAAGCGUGGACGCCAGUCUGCGUGGAGCCGACCUUGAAAUACCACCCUUUAAUGUUUGAUGUUCUAACCUGGCGCCGUGAUCCGGCGUGGGGACAGUGUCUGGUGGGUAGUUUGACUGGGGCGGUCUCCUCCCAAAGUGUAACGGAGGAGCACGAAGGUCAGCUAAUCCUGGUCGGACAUCAGGAGGUUAGUGCAAUGGCAUAAGCUGGCUUGACUGCGAGAGUGACGGCUCGAGCAGGUGCGAAAGCAGGUCAUAGUGAUCCGGUGGUUCUGUAUGGAAGGGCCAUCGCUCAACGGAUAAAAGGUACUCCGGGGAUAACAGGCUGAUACCGCCCAAGAGUUCAUAUCGACGGCGGUGUUUGGCACCUCGAUGUCGGCUCAUCACAUCCUGGGGCUGAAGUAGGUCCCAAGGGUAUGGCUGUUCGCCAUUUAAAGUGGUACGCGAGCUGGGUUUAGAACGUCGUGAGACAGUUCGGUCCCUAUCUGCCGUGGGCGCUGGAGAAUUGAGGGGGGCUGCUCCCAGUACGAGAGGACCGGAGUGGACGCAUCACUGGUGUUCGGGUUGUCAUGCCAAUGGCACUGCCCGGUAGCUAAAUGCGGAAGAGAUAAGUGCUGAAAGCAUCUAAGCACGAAACUUGCCCCGAGAUGAGUUCUCCCUGAGACUGUAAGUCUCCUGAAGGAACGUUGAAGACGACGACGUUGAUAGGCCGGGUGUGUAAGCGCAGCGAUGCGUUGAGCUAACCGGUACUAAUGAACCGUGAGGCUUAACCUU